CGGGAUGUGGCGCAGCCCGGUAGCGCGCCUCGUUCGGGACGAGGAGGCCGCUGGUUCGAAUCCAGUCAUCCCGA
rnacentral:tRNA from 1 species